GACGAACGCUGGCGGCGUGCUUAACACAUGCAAGUCGAGCGGAAAGGCUCCUUCGGGGGUACUCGAGCGGCGAACGGGUGAGUAACACGUGAGUAAUCUGCCCUUGGCUUCGGGAUAGCCACCGGAAACGGUGAUUAAUACCGGAUACGACACAUCACUGCAUGGUGCGUGUGUGGAAAGUUUUUUCGGCCAGGGAUGUGCUCGCGGCCUAUCAGCUUGUUGGUGGGGUAAUGGCCUACCAAGGCUUCGACGGGUAGCCGGCCUGAGAGGGUGACCGGCCACACUGGGACUGAGACACGGCCCAGACUCCUACGGGAGGCAGCAGUGGGGAAUAUUGGACAAUGGGCGGAAGCCUGAUCCAGCAACGCCGCGUGAGGGAUGACGGCCUUCGGGUUGUAAACCUCUUUCAGCACAGACGAAGCGCAAGUGACGGUAUGUGCAGAAGAAGGACCGGCCAACUACGUGCCAGCAGCCGCGGUAAUACGUAGGGUCCGAGCGUUGUCCGGAAUUAUUGGGCGUAAAGGGCUCGUAGGCGGUUUGUCGCGUCGGGAGUGAAAACACCGGGCUUAACUCGGUGCUUGCUUUCGAUACGGGCAGACUAGAGGCAUUCAGGGGAGAACGGAAUUCCUGGUGUAGCGGUGAAAUGCGCAGAUAUCAGGAGGAACACCGGUGGCGAAGGCGGUUCUCUGGGAAUGUCCUGACGCUGAGGAGCGAAA
rnacentral:rRNA from 1 species